UCUGUAUAAACUCCAAUAUAGACUUCAUAGUUGAUCUCUGAUUAAAUCUUUAAAGGCUGUUAUAAUGUAUUAUUAUCAAGUGGUUGGAUUUAAUAAAAUGUUAUUUUUUUCCACACAAGCUAUCAGAGCCAACUGAAAAACUGAACUUUGGUGCUUCAAGGACUACCCCUUUGGUUUGGAGAUGACUCUCCUGCUUUCUUUAAAAUGUGUUUGAUGUCCGAUGAUCACAGCUCAAUUCUUGAUCUGCCAGUGGGGAUUGUGAUAGUUGAAGAUGGGACAAGAUGGGUCUCCCUCUUCGACUGGAAUCGCAAUCGAGGGAAAAUUAGUGAUGGACAAUCUACAUGACCUUCCUGAAAAAGCAAUGUGCCUUCUGUUCGAACUAAUAUAUGCAUUGCACCUGAGUUACCCAAAGUCACUGGGAUACAUGUUUGACUUUAUUCAGCGGAUUCUACUUUCCUUGGGGCAGAAAGACCUGCAGCCUAAAACACAGUCGUUGGCAAACCAGCUGUUUGGCUAAAAUCGAGAAAUUGCUUGCCGCACUUUUAAUUGCAACACAUUUACAUUACACAUGGUCUUUUGUAAAUGAGACUUAAAAAUAUGAGCUUAAUGUUUUGUUUUUAAUGUGAGUGUAAUGUUUUGUAAAAAUGUAAGCUUACUGUUAAACAUGAGCUCAAUAUUUUAAUGUGACUUAAAAAUGCAGCUUGCUGUUAAAAAUAUGAGCUACUGUUUUCUAAAAAUGUGAGCUUAAGUGUUAAGUGCUGUUCAAGUGUCUUAAUGUGACUUAAAAAUGUGAGCUUGAUAAUGUUUCUUAAAUUAAUGUAAAUGUAUAAACCAAAUAAAGCUAUUAAUGGAAAAACAA